rnacentral:rRNA from 1 species
AGUGAACGCUGGCGGUAGACCUAACACAUGCAAGUCGAACGGCAGCACAGUAAGAGCUUGCUCUUACGGGUGGCGAGUGGCGGACGGGUGAGGAAUGCAUCGGAAUCUACUUUUUCGUGGGGGAUAACGUAGGGAAACUUACGCUAAUACCGCAUACGACCUACGGGUGAAAGCAGGGGAUCUUCGGACCUUGCGCGAUUGAAUGAGCCGAUGUCGGAUUAGCUAGUUGGCGGGGUAAAGGCCCACCAAGGCGACGAUCCGUAGCUGGUCUGAGAGGAUGAUCAGCCACACUGGAACUGAGACACGGUCCAGACUCCUACGGGAGGCAGCAGUGGGGAAUAUUGGACAAUGGGCGCAAGCCUGAUCCAGCCAUACCGCGUGGGUGAAGAAGGCCUUCGGGUUGUAAAGCCCUUUUGUUGGGAAAGAAAAGCAGCAGGUUAAUACCCCGCUGUUCUGACGGUACCCAAAGAAUAAGCACCGGCUAACUUCGUG